rnacentral:ribozyme from 1 species
AAUAAAAACAAUUGGAAAAAAAUGAAGAAGGUAAAAAAUUCUCAAGGAAGUUUCCACAGAUGUGUGUGUUUUUUAAAAAUGAAUUGCUUUUUUC